CCUACGGGCGGCAGCAGUAGGGAAUCUUUCACAAUGGGCGAAAGCCUGAUGGAGCAACGCCGCGUGCAGGAUGAAGGCCUUCGGGUUGUAAACUGCUUUUAUAAGCGAGAAAUAUGAUUGUAACUUCUCCAUAAGGAUCAGCUACCUCCGUGCCAGCAGCCGCGGUCAUACUUAGGAGCAGAGCAUUAUCCGGAGUGACUGUGUGUAAAGCGUUGCGUAGGUGGCAUAAGUAGUAGCUAGUGAAAUCUGGUGGCUCAACCAUUCAGACUAUUAGCUAAACUGUUAAGCUCGAGACCGUUAGGGGUAACUGGAAUUUCUAGUGUAGGAGUGAAAUCCGUAGAUAUUAGAAAGAACACCAAUAGCGUAGGCAGGUUACUGGGACGGGUCUGACACUAAGGCACGAAAGCGUAGGGAGCAAACGGGAUUAGAUACCCUGGUAGUC
rnacentral:rRNA from 1 species